rnacentral:rRNA from 1 species
AUUGAACGCUGGCGGCAAGCCUAACACAUGCAAGUCGAACGAGUGGCGGACGGGUGAGUAAUGUCUGGGAAACUGCCUGAUGGAGGGGGAUAACUACUGGAAACGGUAGCUAAUACCGCAUACCAUCGGAUGUGCCCAGAUGGGAUUAGCUAGUAGGUGGGGUAAAGGCUCACCUAGGCGACGCUCCCUAGCUGGUCUGAGAGGAUGACAAGCAACAGUGGAACUGAGACACGGUCCAGAAGCCUACGGGAGGCAGAAGUGGGGAAUAUUGAACAAGGGGCGCAAGCCUGAUGCAGCCAGGCCGCGUGUAUGAAGAAGGCCGUCGGGUUGUAAAGUACUUUCAGCGGGGAGGCGUUACCCGCAGAAGAAGCACCGGCUAACUCCGUGCCAGCAGCCGCGGUAAUAC